rnacentral:rRNA from 1 species
GACGAACCGUCCAAACGUUGUUCGGAAUCACUGGGCAUAAAGGGCGCGUAGGCGGCUCCAAAAGUCAGGGGUGAAAUCCGGCAGCUUAACUGUCGCAGUGCCUUUGAUACUGUGGAGCUAGAGGGAGGUAGGGGUCUGUGGAACUUCCGGUGGAGCGGUGAAAUGCGUUGAUAUCGGAAGGAACGCCGGUGGCGAAAGCGACGGACUGGAUCUCUUCUGACGCUGAGGCGCGAAAGCCAGGGGAGCAAACGGG